UACGUAGGGGGCAAGCGUUGUCCGGAAUCAUUGGGCGUAAAGAGCGUGUAGGCGGCCAGAAAAGUCCGCUGUGAAAACUCGAGGCUCAACUUCGAGCUGUCGGUGGAAACUUUCUGGCUAGAGUCCGGAAGAGGAGAAUGGAAUUCCUGGUGUAGCGGUGAAAUGCGCAGAUAUCAGGAAGAACACCCGUGGCGAAGGCGGUUCUCUGGGACGGUACUGAUGCUGAGACGCGAAAGCGUGGGGAGCAAACAGG
rnacentral:rRNA from 1 species